rnacentral:rRNA from 1 species
UACGGAGGGUGCAAGCGUUGCUCGGAAUUACUGGGCGUAAAGCGCACGCAGGCGGCGUGCCAAGUCGAACGUGAAAUCCCUGGGCUCAACCCAGGAACUGCGCUCGAAACUGGCACGCUUGAGUCCGGGAGAGGAUGGUGGAAUUCCUGGUGUAGAGGUGAAAUUCGUUGAUAUCAGGAGGAACACCGGCGGCGAAGGCGGCCAUCUGGCCCGGAACUGACGCUCAUGUGCGAAAGCGUGGGGAGCAAACAGG